UACGUAGGGUGCGAGCGUUGUCCGGAAUUAUUGGGCGUAAAGAGCUUGUAGGCGGUUUGUCGCGUCUGCUGUGAAAAUCCGGGGCUCAACCCCGGACUUGCAGUGGGUACGGGCAGACUGGAGUGUGGUAGGGGAGACUGGAAUUCCUGGUGUAGCGGUGGAAUGCGCAGAUAUCAGGAGGAACACCGGUGGCGAAGGCGGAUCUCUGGGCCGAUACUGACGCUGAGGAGCGAAAGCGUGGGGAGCAAACAGG
rnacentral:rRNA from 1 species